AUUGAACGCUGGCGGAAUGCUUUACACAUGCAAGUCGAACGGCAGCACGGACUUCGGUCUGGUGGCGAGUGGCGAACGGGUGAGUAAUGUAUCGGAACGUGCCCAGUCGUGGGGGAUAACGUAGUGAAAAUUACGCUAAUACCGCAUACGAUCUAUGGAUGAAAGCGGGGGAUCGCAAGACCUCGCGCGAUUGGAGCGGCCGAUAUCAGAUUAGGUAGUUGGUGGGGUAAAGGCCCACCAACCCAACGAUCUGGAGCUGGUCUGAGAGGACGACCAGCCCAACUGGAACUGAGACACGGUCCAGACUCCUACGGGAGGCAGCAGUGGGGAAUUUUGGACAAUGGGCGAAAGCCUGAUCCAGCCAUUCCGCGUGCAGGAUGAAGGCCCUCGGGUUGUAAACUGCUUUUGUACAGAACGAAAAGGUUUCUACUAGUACUAGGAGCUCAUGACGGUACUGUAAGAAUAAGCACCGGCUAACUACGUGCCAGCAGCCGCCGUAA
rnacentral:rRNA from 1 species